UCGGACAGCCAUAUCACCCUGCACCCCAAGACUGCUUGCCCACUGAAGCUAAGCAGGGUUGAGCCUGGUCAGUACCUGGAGGGGAGACCUCCUGGGAAAACUAGGUUGCUGCUGGAA
rnacentral:rRNA from 1 species